GAGGAUAUAGCUCAAGUGGUGGAGUAUUCGCUUAGCAUGCAUGAGGUUCUGGGUUCAAUCCCCAGUACCUCCG
rnacentral:tRNA from 1 species